rnacentral:rRNA from 1 species
AGUGGACGCUGGCGGUAGGCCUAACACAUGCAAGUCGAACGGCAGCACAGUAAGAGCUUGCUCUUACGGGUGGCGAGUGGCGGACGGGUGAGGAAUACAUCGGAAUCUACUUUUUCGUGGGGGAUAACGUAGGGAAACUUACGCUAAUACCGCAUACGACCUACGGGUGAAAGCAGGGGAUCUUCGGACCUUGCGCGAUUGAAUGAGCCGAUGUCGGAUUAGCUAGUUGGCGGGGUAAAGGCCCACCAAGGCGACGAUCCGUAGCUGGUCUGAGAGGAUGAUCAGCCACACUGGAACUGAGACACGGUCCAGACUCCUACGGGAGGCAGCAGUGGGGAAUAUUGGACAAUGGGCUCAAGCCUGAUCCAGCCAUACCGCGUGGGUGAAGAAGGCCUUCGGGUUGUAAAGCCCUUUUGUUGGGAAAGAAAAGCAGCAGGUUAAUACCCCGCUGUUCUGACGGUACCCAAAGAAUAAGCACCGGCUAACUUCGUG